AUUGAACGCUGGCGGAAUGCUUUACACAUGCAAGUCGAACGGCAGCACGGGAGCUUGCUCCUGGUGGCGAGUGGCGAACGGGUGAGUAACGCGUCGGAACGAACCGAGUAAUGGGGGAUAACGCAGCGAAAGCUGUGCUAAUACCGCAUACGCCCUGAGGGGGAAAGUGGGGGAGUCGCAAGACCUCACGUUAUUCGAGCGGCCGACGUCUGAUUAGCUUGUUGGUGAGGUAAUGGCUCACCAAGGCGACGAUCAGUAGCGGGUCUGAGAGGACGACCAGCCACACUGGGACUGAGACACGGACCCGACUCCUACGGGAGGCAGCAGUAAGGAAUAUUGGUCAAUGGAGGGAACUCUGAACCAGCCAUGCCGCGUGAAGGAUGACGGCCCUCUGGGUUGUAAACUUCUUUUGGAUGGGGCGAAAAAACGGGAUUUAUCCUGGACUGACGGUACCAUCAGAAUAAGCACCGGCUAACUCCGUGCCAGCAGCCCGGUAAAGUAGUCGUGU
rnacentral:rRNA from 1 species